UACGAAGGGGGCUAGCGUUGCUCGGAAUCACUGGGCGUAAAGGGUGCGUAGGCGGGUCUUUUAAGUCAGGGGUGAAAUCCUGGAGCUCAACUCCAGAACUGCCUUUGAUACUGAAGAUCUUGAGUUCGGGAGAGGUGAGUGGAACUGCGAGUGUAGAGGUGAAAUUCGUAGAUAUUCGCAAGAACACCCGUGGCGAAGGCGGCUCUCUGGGACGGUACUGACGCUGAGACGCGAAAGCGUGGGGAGCGAACAGG
rnacentral:rRNA from 1 species